ACUGCUUUUCUUUGAAAUCCCCAAAUUGAGGAGCCCGUUAAUCUUAUGAUUAGCGGGUUUUUUUCU
rfam:Bacteria symbiont BFo1 of Frankliniella occidentalis strain BFo1 contig021, whole genome shotgun sequence.